rnacentral:lncRNA from 1 species
GGCAAUUUGUAAAAUGCCUAACCUUGACAGGCAUUAUACAAAAUGACUAAAAAUACCUAGUCAUUUUGUAAAAUGACUGAAAUUUUGAAGCAAAAUUCUACAAAUUGCCUGUUCAGUUUCAGGCAAUUUGUAGAAGAAGGUUAUCAUUGAAAAAAGUGGACAAAAUGGUUCAUUAGAAUUAAUUUAUUUUCCAAAAACCAGCUGGAAAGGGUGGUAUAUCAGAUGAUGUGUACUUUUUUGUGAAACUACAUAAAGUACAUACUCACUCUGUAUUUCAGAUACCAGUAGUAUAUUUGUGAUUAUUUUGUCAAAAUGACAGAAGGACACAUUGUUCUGUCAAUAGAACAAAAUUUACAAUAGAAAUUUUAGAAAUUCUGGGUUAAAAAAAGUAAAUUAAAAUAAAACAUAGGAAUAUAUCAGAGAAAAAAAAUAUUUUUGACUGAUUGUUUGUUGUUUGCUUUCAGUCGCAAACAUGUCAUAGAUAUAGGAAGAUGUGGUGUGAGUGCCAAUGAGACAACUCUCCAUCCAAAUAACAAUUUAAAAAAAAGUAAACCAUUAUAGGUCAAUGUACGGCCUUCAACACGGAGCCUUGGCUCACACCGAACAACAAGCUAUAAAGGGCCCCAAAAUUACUAGUGUAAAACCAUUCAAACGGGAAAACCAACGGUCUAAUGCUUUUUUAGACAAGAACAAAUUGGUUAUAAUCCAUAUGGGUUAGUUCUGUAGGGGAUUGACCCGAAUAAAGGACAGACGCUUGCAAUUGCAAUGAAGGUAUUUUGGAUAUGGACAGAAAAUUCCACCAGCAGAACAGCCAUAAAUAAAAAUAAAGAAAAUGAAAAAUUCUUAACGUGAAAACAGUAUUGCAUUUUACUAACAUAUGACAAUAUUUAAUAUCCCCAAAUAAUGAGAAUUUUAAUUUUAUACACCCACAUCUAAACAGAUUUCCCUGUGCAAUAUGGGUUUUGCCAUACAAGGCUGUGUUUUGAUGUGAUGCAAAGAUAUGGUUGGUUGUGUCGUCGGAUACAGUUUUCAAUCAAGAUAGCCUAUUGGAAAUUGUGGCUAGGUUUACAUUUAUUUGUGAAAAAAAAUACAAAAAUUUUUAAAAAAUGUUGAAAAUUUACUAUAAAGAGCAAUAACUCCAUAAGGUGUCAAUUGACAAUUGCUUAUUGCGAAUGUGUGAUGAUUCAAGUUUCUCCAUAUAUGGUUGAAGUACUAAAACCAGAUUUUACAGCAAACAAUUAUGUAUUUACAAAAGUUCAGGACAAAUAUUGUGUAACAGUUCUGUCAUCAAACAUUUUGAGAAAUGAUAAAUAAUUGUCGAGUUUUUUGAA